AGGAAUAUUGGUCAAUGGCCGGAAGGCUGAACCAGCCAAGUCGCGUGAGGGAAUAAGGCCCUACGGGUCGUAAACCUCUUUUGCCAGGGAGCAAUGCCGUCCACGUGUGGACGGAAGGAGAGUACCUGGAGAAAAAGCAUCGGCUAACUCCGUGCCAGCAGCCGCGGUAAUACGGAGGAUGCGAGCGUUAUCCGGAUUUAUUGGGUUUAAAGGGUGCGUAGACGGAAUGUCAAGUAACCGGUAAAAUACGGGGGCUCAACCUCCGCCCGCCGUUGAAACUGACGGUCUUGAGUGGGCGAGAAGUAUGCGGAAUGCGUGGUGUAGCGGUGAAAUGCAUAGAUAUCACGCAGAACUCCGAUUGCGAAGGCAGCAUACCGGCGCCCGACUGACGCUGAAGCACGAAAGCGUGGGUAUCGAA
rnacentral:rRNA from 1 species